rnacentral:lncRNA from 1 species
UUUUAUGAAGCAGCACAAAACCAAUAAAAAGGUUUGUGCGUCAAAACCCAAAAUGUACUGUCCACUAUCAAAAGGUGAGUGUGCAACUAACAUAGACAUCUGUACAAUGUUUUAGUUGUGCAAACACU